UACGUAGGGUGCGAGCGUUAAUCGGAAUUACUGGGCGUAAAGCGUGCGUAGGCGGUUUGCCGUGUCCUGUGUGAAAGCCCCGGGCUCAACCUGGGAAUUGCAUGGGAAACUGGCAGGCUUGAGUGUGGCAGAGGAGGGUGGAAUUCCGCGUGUAGCAGUGAAAUGCGUAGAGAUGCGGAGGAACACCGAUGGCGAAGGCAGCCCUCUGGGCCAACACUGACGCUCAGGCACGAAAGCGUGGGUAGCAAACAGG
rnacentral:rRNA from 1 species